UACGGAGGGUGCGAGCGUUGUCCGGAAUCAUUGGGCGUAAAGGGCGCGUAGGUGGCCCGGUCAGUUCGUGGUGAAAGCGCGGGGCUCAACCCUGCGUCGGCCAUGAAUACUGCCGCGGCUAGAGUACUGUAGAGGCAGGCGGAAUUCCGGGUGUAGCGGUGGAAUGCGUAGAGAUCCGGAAGAACACCGGUGGCGAAGGCGGCCUGCUGGGCAGUUGCUGACACUGAGGCGCGACAGCGUGGGGAGCAAACAGG
rnacentral:rRNA from 1 species